rnacentral:rRNA from 1 species
ACCCCAAACCGACACAGGUGGUCAGGUAGAGAAUACCAAGGCGCUUGAGAGAACUCGGGUGAAGGAACUAGGCAAAAUGGUGCCGUAACUUCGGGAGAAGGCACGCUGAUAUGUAGGUGAAGCGACUAGCUCGUGGAGCUGAAAUCAGUCGAAGAUACCAGCUGGCUGCAACUGUUUAUUAAAAACACAGCACUGUGCAAACACGAAAGUGGACGUAUACGGUGUGACGCCUGCCCGGUGCCGGAAGGUUAAUUG